UACGUAUGGUGCGAGCGUUAAUCGGAAUUACUGGGCGUAAAGCGUGCGCAGGCGGUUCUAUAAGACAGAUGUGCAAUCCCCGGGCUCAACCUGGGAAUGGCAUUUGUGACUGUAGAGCUAGAGUACGGUAGAGGGGGAUGGAAUUCCGCGUGUAGCAGUGAAAUGCGUAGAUAUGCGGAGGAACACCGAUGGCGAAGGCAAUCCACUGGACCUGUACUGACGCACAUGCACGAAAGCGUGGGGAGCCAACAGGAGUAGAUACACGCGAGUCC
rnacentral:rRNA from 1 species